UACGUAGGGGGCAAGCGUUGUCCGGAAUCAUUGGGCGUAAAGAGCGCGUAGGCGGCCCUGUAAGUCCGCUGUGAAAGUCAAGGGCUCAACCCUUGAAUGCCGGUGGAUACUGCAGGGCUAGAGUCCGGAAGAGGCGAGUGGAAUUCCUGGUGUAGCGGUGAAAUGCGCAGAUAUCAGGAGGAACACCGAUGGCGAAGGCAGCUCGCUGGGACGGUACUGACGCUAAGGCGCGAAAGCGUGGGGAGCGAACGAGGA
rnacentral:rRNA from 1 species